ACACGCUUGCCUUUUUUAAAUCAUGCUUUACAUUGUUAUUAGACAUUGCUGGCUACGACCAACUGUGAAACAAUUACAUUCCUCUGAGAUACGGUAGCGUUUUAAUACUCCAUUUAUGAGAAAACCGGGUUAAAAAAAAAAAAGGGGGGGGGGGUAAAGAAAAAAGGAAGAAAGCAUCUCAGAGGAGCAUUUAUCUCUGGGUGAUUUAUUGAUAGUACUGACCUUUCGGAUUCAUCAAGAUUCCUCCCAGCUCCGAGGGCUCCCGCAGCCAAGUGCCGCGCAGACACCGCUGGAGGCGGCAGCAGCUCCGGUCCCUCCCUCCAUGCUGCGCGCACACGCACACGCUCCGCACCGCGCCCCCCGCACCCCGGCUCUGCGCAGCCUGCCGGCGGGGAGCGGGGCAGGGGAGGGGGCUGAAGGCCGAGGCUGCCCCCCUUCCCUACCUCCCCCCCUUCCCUCCCUCCCCCCCGACCCGCUCACGGGCUGGCUCCAGCGCCAACUGCGCCCGGAGCGGCUGGAACGCCGGAUUUACCCCCCCAGAAAAAAGACAUGCAGGAAUGGGACAAGCUAAAGAUAGAAGAACUGAAUGGGAAGCAACAUGCCCGUUCAGAAGGAAACUAUUCUGACUUUGCAUCAGUAGCUGCCGGGCUUCGAGAAUUAUUACACUUUUCCUUCGCCCUCGGCCAUCCCCACCUGCAGCUCUGCGGCAGAGACCAAAGCACACCGGAUUCAUCUCAGGGACUGUAUCCCUCAGCUUGUGGUUUUGACCUUCUGACUUGAGCCAAUAAUUCAACCCGAGUCAAACUUCACAACAGGAGAAAACAGAAGCACACUGCAAAAGUGAAGGUGUUUGUGCAACAUGAUGGGGACAAAGCCAGGGACAGAACUUUGCGGUGGUCCAGGACCCCAAAGCACUGGCAUUAAUGAGAACAUGAGGUAAAAAAAACCUGUGGAAAUUCACCACCCAGCUUCCUACAAUAAAAUACUGUGCUGCACCCCGAGGUAACCACAGACAGCAAAACUUAAGCCCGGCACCACAGCUCCUAGCCCCAGUGCUUCAAUCCAAGCUGAAAGGAACAGUAAGGAACACAAAGCAAAAAACAAAGCUAUAAUAAAGUGAUAAAGCAUAAAAACUCAACAGAUACUGUCCACACUGCAUCUGUUCUAGCUUAAGGUCUACUACUGCGCUCAACAGCGCAGUGGAAGUAGCUGUAGGGAAAAAUUUAAGCAAAUGUAUUUAUUGUACAGCUGUGAAAGAGGCUCUUGCCAACUAACUGGAACCAAUUACUAUUACAGAGAACAUUUACUAGCACACAGAAGUUCAGCAUAUCCACUACCAAAAGCAUCCAGUUGUUUGGGGCACAGCACAAGAUUAAACCCUACUGUUGCUUUUCAUGCUUUU
rnacentral:lncRNA from 1 species